GACGAACGCUGGCGGCGUGCUUAACACAUGCAAGUCGAACGAGUGGCGGACGGGUGAGUAAUGUCUGGGAAACUGCCUGAUGGAGGGGGAUAACUACUGGAAACGGUAGCUAAUACCGCAUACCAUCGGAUGUGCCCAGAUGGGAUUAUCUAGUAGGUGGGGUAAAGGCUCACCUAGGCGACGAUCCCUAGCUGGUCUGAGAGGAUGACCAACCACACUGGAAAUGAGACACGGUCCAGAAUCAUACGGGAGGCAGCAGUGGGGAAUAUUGGACAAUGGGCGCAAGCCUGAUGCAGCCAUGCCGCGUGUAUGAAGAAGGCCUUCGGGUUGUAAAGUACUUUCAGCGGGGAGGCGGGAAACGCAGAAGAAGCACCGGCUAACUCCGUGCCAGCAGCCGCGGUAAUUC
rnacentral:rRNA from 1 species